UAAGUAGGCGGUGGAAAAUCAACCAAAUGGGAUUCCUUAAGUAAUUGCGAAUGAACAAGGAAAUGCUCAGCUUGAAAAAUGGGGCCUUUGGCUUUGAGUUGUAAUUUUGAAAUGUAUUGCCAAUAGAGGUGCAAGUGCAAGCCUAUUGAAAGAAAGCGUCAAUGAGGGUGAGAUUCCUUUUUGUCAUUUGCAAUCCUCCAUGCACGGUAUAUGCUUGACGAGUCACACUCCUCGGCAUUGGAAUGCAAAAUGGGUGGUAAAUUCCAUGUAAAGGUAAAUAUAUUAUUGAGAUUGAUAGCAAACAAGUACCAUGAGGGAAAUAUGAAAAGGACUUUGAAAAGAGAAUUAAAAGAGUCUGCAUUUGCUGAACAACAAGCAAACAGAAUUUGUUUAAUUGGUGAGAUUGUUGUUUCCUCUUGAAACAAUGUAUGUUAAAGAGAGGUGCAAUGGUUCUUUCCUUGAAUGUCACUUUCUAUUUCGGCAAAUCAUUAUCCUUGUACAUGAAUGGUAAUUUGCUUGCGGGCAUUGGGAUAUGUGUACUUGCGAUGAUUUGUGAUUUGAUACACGUGUCUGGUGACUUGUGUUGGGGCUCUCUUUGUCGACAGAAAUUUUCUGCUCUGAACGCAACAAGCCUUUACACAGUGUUGGUGGCAAAAUGUUUCUGCUUGACCCGUCUUGAAACACGGACCAAGGAGUCUAACAGAUGUGCAGGUCUGGAAAUGUUAAAUUGUUUUGAGCAAUGAAAGUAUUUGCUGGGAUAUUUGCACCAGCAACCGAUUGAUUAACAGACAGAGGUUUGAGUUUGAGCAUAUCUAUUAGGACCCGAAAGAUGGUGAACUAUGCCUGAACAGAAUGAAUUCAGAGGAAACUCUGAUGGAGGUUCGUAUCGAUA
rnacentral:rRNA from 1 species